GGUUCUCGCAUCGAUGAAGAACGUAGCAAAGUGCGAUAACUAGUGUGAAUUGCAUAUUCAGUGAAUCAUCGAGUCUUUGAACGCAACUUGCGCUCAUUGGUAUUCCAAUGAGCACGCCUGUUUCAGUAUCAAAACAAACCCUCUAUUCAAUAUUUUUGUU
rnacentral:rRNA from 1 species